rnacentral:rRNA from 1 species
GACAGAGGGGGCAAGCGUUGCUCGGAAUUACUGGGCGUAAAGGGCGCGUAGGCGGAAUGGCAAGUCGGUCGUGAAAUCCUUCGGCUCAACCGAAGAACGUCGAUCGAAACUGCCGUUCUUGAGGAUUGCAGAGGAGACUGGAAUUCCCGGUGUAGCGGUAAAAUGUGUAGAGAUCGGGAGGAACACCGGUGGCGAAGGCGGGUCUCUGGGCAAUUCCUGACGCUGAGGCGCGAAAGCGUGGGGAGCAAACGGG